ACCGGCGCACGGGUGCGUAACGCGUAUGUAACCUACCUAUAACAGGGGCAUAACACUGAGAAAUUGGUACUAAUUCCCCAUAAUAUUCGGAGAGGCAUCUCUCCGGGUUGAAAACUCCGGUGGUUAUAGAUGGACAUGCGUUGUAUUAGCUAGUUGGUGAGGUAACGGCUCACCAAGGCAACGAUACAUAGGGGGACUGAGAGAUUAACCCCCCACACUGGUACUGAGACACGGACCAGACUCCUACGGGAGGCAGCAUG
rnacentral:rRNA from 1 species